rnacentral:lncRNA from 1 species
GGGUUAAAUACACUUUUCCUACUUUACUAAGGGUCGGUUUACAAAUGCAUCACUGAAUUGCUUUUUUUUACAGUCAACUCAUUGAACUAUACAUUAUUUAUAAAAAAUAAUUUUGUCGUCUAUAUCUGUUAACUAUUUAACAGAAAAAGGAUGUGGCAAUACAUGUUAAUCCAUUAAAUCUACGUGUCACUGACAAUUAAGGAGAGAAGGUAAGUUUAAUAAUUAAAUAAAUUAAUAAUUUGAGUAUAACAUCCCUCUUCCUCAUUUCCCCUCCUGCAUCGUGAUACCACGUUCCUCUACCACCGUUCCACCUACUGCCGCCGUCGCUAUUUUUGUACCUCUGGCACCACCUCCUCCUAGAGGCACUAGAGGCAUUUUCUUAGUUCAACGCCAUCACCAAAUCAAAUGUUUGUUAGUAUGUAGAAAUUGGAUUUCGUCCGAUUCGAUUAACGCCAGAUCUGACCUGACAAUGAACAUAGUGGUGAGGAUAUAUGGUGGCAGGAAAGCGAUAUUUUGGAAUUGGUGUGUAUGGAGAUGAUGAGUCCAGGCGGUGAUCGCGGGUAGUUCCGGUUGCCGCGGUGGUCUCCACUGCUUCCAGGUUGAAUAAUUUUUCACUGCCAAUAAUUCAACCUAUUUUGAAGAGUUAUCCUUUGGUCAAGAAAUUGUUAAACAAUUAAAAAUUAGAGUUACAAGAAGUUGUGUCUCUGAUUUCAGUUACCCAUUCUGGUGAAUUUGAUAGUGCUCGUGUAGUUGGUUGCUCAGAUAGUUAUGGCACAUCAUUUAGAGUAGUUAAUGUGAUUGAUAAUUUUUGUGUGAUGUUAUUUGUUUUGUCCGAAUUCUGAGUUUUGAUUCUACCGUCCCGCCUCUGCUGGUGGAUUGGUUGGUUUCUUCCUAUAAUCUGGCUGGAUUCUAGGAUUGCCAAUUCCACUUUAGUUCGAUUUAGGGCUCUAAGGAUUUCUUACUGAUUUUCGACUAAUUGGUGUUAUUAUCCUAGUUUGAUCUGAUGUAAUUUUUCUAUUUUUGGUGGCUGUAUAUGGGUUUGUUUUCUCCAUUUUCCCGAUUUAAUGAUUUCAUAAUAUAAAUAAUAAUUAUAUUAAUUUUUAAAAAUAAAAAUAAUAAUUAAUUUAAAAAAAUUAGUUAUAUUUUUGAAGUUUAAAUUUAUUUUUUAUGAAUUUUUAUUUUAAAUUUGUGCUUAUUAUGAAAAUAUUUAUGAAUAAUAUUAAAGAUAUUACUCAAAUUUCUCUUAUUUUCAUAAUAUAUGUAAUAUAUCUAAAUAUAAUAAAAGAUAAAUUUGUCAAAAAAAAUAUUAAUAUUUUUUCAUUAUUAAUAUUGAGGGUAUUAUGACAAAAUUAGUAAUAUAACAUGUUAGAAAUUUAUAUGUUAUAUUAAUAAUUUUAAUUUUAUCUAAAGAUGGGUUAAUUAUAUUAAUAAAAUUAAUGAGUUAUUUAAAUUAAAAAAUUUUAUAUAUUUAUGUGUAAUUUAUAUAAUUUAUUUAAAAUUGUUCCAUACUGAAAAAAAGAAGAUUUUUUUGUAUCCUAUAAUACCAAAGUUUUAUCAUACCAAACAAAUAUUAAUAAUUAAAAUAAAUUUUAAAAAAUAUUUUUAUUGUACUUUUAUUUUGAAUGAAUUAUUUUAUUUAUUUAAUUUUGAUUAAUUUAGCGUUAAAUUUAUACAAGUUUCCAUCUAGGCAUGCCACAAAAAAAAUGUCUGACAUGCAAGGUUUUCUCUCUCUUACAUGGCAGCUAAUGUAAUUUUUUCGUCCAAAGUCAAACAAUUUAACAGAAUUUGUAGCGGUUUAUAAAAAAGUUGUAGUCCAGUGAGUCGAAUAUAAAAAAAAUUAGUUCAAUGAUGCAUUUGUAAACCGACCCUUAGUAGAGUGGCGAAAAAUAUAUUUAACCCAUUGUGAAAGAUUGAUAAUCAAAUUUCAAUAAAUGAAUAACUGAAUCAAUAACGCUGAGUUGUCAAUAAUGACCAUGAACAAUUACUUUGGUAAUGAAGGUGAUCAGCUUUUCAUACAUGAUAAACAUAUGCAAGAUACACUAAGUGCGAAUCAAUAAUCAUAGAUGUAAAAUAAUUGUCAAUAAUUAAAUCACUAGCAUGCUUGAAACAUAAUAACUCAAUUUUGAGUUAGGGAACUUGCCUUGGCCGUCGAUUACUGCUCCGCAAUUUAAUUUAAUCUAUUAUGAAAGACAUAUCAUUAUGAAGAUUGAUCUCUCAAUCAACAUAUUAUAUCAUACCUCAUAAUACUACUACGUUAAUAAAUUAGCUAACAUUUAGUUACAAAAUUAAAUAUUAGAUAACACCUUAAACCAUCAAUAUUAUUAUCUUCAUUUGAUAAUACCUCAAUAACUUUAUCAUCAUCUAAAAACUCUUCUCUAAUAUUAUUAAUCACUUAAUAAUAUCUCAUUCACUUCUUAUAAUCAUUUCAUAAUAUCUUAAUCGUUUACAAAUAUUAUUAAUAUUUUAAUCAUUUAUCAACAUCUUAAUCAUUUUCAAAUAUUAUUAAUUAUUUAAUAAUAUUUUAAUUACUUAAUAAUAUCUUAAUCUAAUAUUAUUAAUCUCUUAAUAAUAUUUUAAUCAUUUAUUAACCCAAUAAAUAAUUUAUUUUAAAUCUUUACCCUUUACUAAUUUAUUUAUUUAACAAUCAUAAAAUGCCAUAAAUAUAAAAUUUUAUCAAAAAUGACCAUAAUACCCUCCAAAAUUCUAAUUAAAUCAUAUUAAGGGUCUUUUGUCAAAAACAAAUCAUAUUUUUUUACCCUUUAUAACAUCACAUUACUUAUUUUAUCCAUUUAUUCAUAACUCAAUUAUUUACAUGAAAAAUAUCAAAACAUAUCUAAAAGUUUUUCUUUUCUGGGAAACAUCAGUAUAUGAUAUUUUAAUGAACAUAUAUUUUUCUUGAAUUUUUCAAUUCCGUUUACUAAUUUUAAAUGGUCCAAAAUAGUCAGAUCUUCCAACAUUUUUUAUAAAUCGAAAUUUUGUUCAACAAUUCUGAAAUUUUCAAGACAUACUCCUGUUAUGAACAUAUACUCCCAGUAACACUUUAAUAAUUUUUGGAAUUAACCACAAAGAGUUAUUCAAGUUUACUUUUAAAAUAGUCAUUUUUUGUAAAAUCCAUAACUUUCAUUCUACACAUCCAAAAAUUACCAUAUUUUUACUGGAUCUUAAUAACUCAUCAUAUUAUCAUACCAAUUUUAAAAAAAAUUUUAAAUCAUGGAAAAAGGACGAAAAUGCCCCUGCAAGCAACUGGUCACGAGCUGUCCUUUCCCUUUUCUUCAUAAGCUGAAGUGUUUAGACUAAAACAGCCACCAUGGAUUGUAAAAUCAACAUAUUUGAGUGCUACCACUUGAUUUUAAAAACUAACUUAUCUAGCACCUCUCUUUGAUGGAUUCUAAAAAGAAGGUGUAAAUCUUAAAUGGUAGUUAAUCAAAGUGGAAGAAAGUCAAAGUUUUCUAGCCUUUUGGAACAAAGUUUUACAUCUUCUUCCUUUGAUCCAUACGUGCAACACUCAAAAGGGUUAGAUCCAUACAUGCAACACUCAAAUACAUGUUAAUCUAAAGUUUUGAAGUUCAAAAAUAUCAACUCUUCAUUUAAUCAAAUCAUCAAAAGAAAUGAGUACAAAAGCUUAGAACUUUGGGAUUAUACCUUGAUUUAAUGGCUACCCUUCUUGCUUUUCCAAAGUAGGAGAUGAAUUUUGGGAGCAUGAAGAUCCAAUCUCUCCUUCUUUCUUCCCUCAUACCCACGGUUUUCUCCCUCUCUUUCUACCUCUUAUAUUUUGCUUCUUUUGCUUUUCUUUUAAUGGAGAGAGAAAUUAAAGGGUAAAGUAACUGUUUUGAUAAUUAAAGUGGGAUGAGUAAUUGGUAUUGGUGAAUUAGAAUAGAUACAAUCUAUGUAUGUAUCAUCAAUUGUCCAACACUUUUCUCUCUCCUCCUCAUCUUUAAUUUUAC